UUGCAUUGGAGAAUUCUUACGCGAAAUUGCCCACAAAAAUAUAAAAUUAAAAUUUCCAAACAAUUAUAUAUAAAAAACAAUAAAAAAUUAAUGUUUAAAAAUAUAUCUUGAUUGAUAUAAUACAAAAUUACACAAAUGACAAUGAAUUAAAAAUUUAUAAUAAAAAAUUAAUAUUAUAAAAACAAAAAUUAUAAAAACAAAUUAUGUAAAUAAUAAAAAACAUAACUUUACAAUAUAGUAAAUACCAAAAUCACAAAAAAAAAUAUCAAUAAUUUAAUUUUAAAAUUUAGGAAAUCUCCAAUAAAAUUCUAAAAUUUUGGUUCAGUUUGUGUUUCUCCCAACUUAACUUUUUUUUAAAAAGUCCUAAAAAUCAGUAAAACGUUGCAUUAUGAUUCUUUUCACAUGGUUAAAAUCGGUAAAAAAUAAAUUGAAACUAUUUUGUAAAUUUACCUAAAAUAUUGAGAUCUUUCUACAAAAAAAAAAAAAAAAAAAAAAAAAAAAAAAAAAAAAAAACUUUUGUAUUUUUAUUAUUAAUAUUAUUUUUGUUAUUGUUAUUUUACUAAAAAUAUAAAUAAAUAUAUUAUUUGAAAAAUUCUUUAUUAUCAAUAUUAUUAAGUAAAUACAUAUAUUAAUAUUGGUGAGACUAGCCUACUUGGUAGAGGUUCACCUCUUAGGCCCUGUUUGUUUACCUCUUAAUUACAAAAUUAAGAGUUAGUGUCUUAAAAAUUCAGAUCCAGAUCGUUUGGUUGUAUCUUAUUUUUUACCUCUUAAAAUUAUAAAUGCCUCUUAAUUUUUCAGAUACUAAACAAAGUCUGAAUUUUUUAAAAAAAAAGUGUUUCCUAUUUUGCCCUAAACCAUGAUUAAACAUGCCUCCUCUUCUCUUCCGUGUGCGUCUGCUUCCCUUCGUGUCUACUUCCCUUCACCACCAAUUCUCCGAUGACGCCGCCCACCCCAACGUCGACGUCGCUGCACCCCUGCAACGCCGACAUCGCCGCACCCGCUUCGUCUCCAACUUGUUUUUUUGGAUUGCGCCCUAAAGCAGGGUUGGUGAAUAGAAGUUGAUGGUGUCGUGAAGGUUGCAAUGAUGAUGAUAAAGGUCAAUGACAGGUGGGUGCCCAGUAAUGGUGUAUGAUGGUAGCGUGUAAUGAAGAGGGUGAUGGGUUGUUGCAUGUUAAUGGUGAAGAUGUCCUAUGUGUGUUUCCGUAGAUUAACAUCAUUUUUUCAUUCACAUGUUCAAGAGCCAAAAAGAUCAUAUGUAUUAUUUCAUGUAAAUCUUGUAUGGGGUGUGAGAUCAUAUGUAUUAUUUCAUGUAAAUCUUGUAUGGGGUGUGAUGUUGGCCAAAUUAUUGACUGAUAACUAUAAUGAAAUAUUUGGUUGUUUAGUUUA